GAUAAGAUGGCUGAAAUAUAAGCAAUAAACUGUAAAUUUAUUUAUGGAUUAAAUCCUCUUAUCA
rnacentral:tRNA from 1 species